CCUACGGGUGGCAGCAGUGAGGAAUAUUGGUCAAUGGACGAGAGUCUGAACCAGCCAAGUAGCGUGAAGGAUGACUGCCCUAUGGGUUGUAAACUUCUUUUAUAUGGGUAUAAAAUGUUCCACGUGUGGGAUUUUGUAUGUACCAUAUGAAUAAGGAUCGGCUAACUCCGUGCCAGCAGCCGCGGUAAUACGGAGGAUCCGAGCGUUAUCCGGAUUUAUUGGGUUUAAAGGGAGCGUAGGUGGAUUGUUAAGUCAGUUGUGAAAGUUUGCGGCUCAACCGUAAAAUUGCAGUUGAAACUGGCAGUCUUGAGUACAGUAGAGGUGGGCGGAAUUCGUGGUGUAGCGGUGAAAUGCUUAGAUAUCACGAAGAACUCCGAUUGCGAAGGCAGUUCACUGGACUGCAACUGACACUGAGGCUCGAGAGUGUGGGUAUCAAACAGGAUUAGAUACCCUUGUAGUC
rnacentral:rRNA from 1 species